rnacentral:lncRNA from 1 species
CCAGAUGGAAACUUCCCAAAGAUCUAUCAGUGGUGGAAUGGAUAACGUUCAGUGUGUGCAUACUGCGAAAUACACAGCAAUCAAUAAGAAUGAAUAACCACUGUCAGCAAUGACAAAUAUCAAUCUCACAGACAUAAGGUGGGGAAAAAGAAGGCAGAUACAAAAUGUAAUUUUAUUUAUAUCAAGUUUAAGAAUAAGCAAACCUCACCUAUGAGGCUAUCAGAAGACAAGAGAGUUACUUGUUGAGGGGAGUAUGGGGACGGUGGAUGGCUGGAUUUAACCAUGAGACGAGCAUUCAGGGUGCUAGCAAAGCUCCGUUCCUGGAGCUAGGUGCUGACUUCCUGGGUAUGAAGAGUUUAUGAAAAUGAAAACUCAUUGAGCUCUACACUUAAGGAGUUGUGCGCUUUUCUGUGAGUAUAUUAUAGACCAGAAAAGUUUAAAGUAUUGAAGCUCUGGAUCAUUACAUACACACACACAUAGGUAUGCGUAUACAAAAGCAAAACUGAUCUUUUUUGUAUUAGGCUAAAAAAGUGGCACUUGAGUUAAGGAUGACGUGUCUUGCCCUUUAUCAUAAAAUUUUAUGUGUGAAAACUUUAUGCCAAGCAAAACAAUAAACACUUAAUUCAUUCUUUGCCUCUUGCAUGUCGUUGCCAUCAGAAACAACAUUUUAUCGAGUAAGAAAUCAUUUCUUUUUAUAAUUUCUUUCAAGGUCAAGUCCCGCUAAGCCUGCUCUCACACCAAACACACAUCCACAUUAAGCACUGAAGUUUGCACCUCAUUUGAAGUUUUGAUCCAGUGCCAGGGACCUCUUGUGAGCAUAAAAUACUACAGGGACACAGCAGGACAAACAACCAGUUCUGCCUGGAGGAAUCUGGAAAGCAUUUCCCGAGAAGUAUAUGUAACAGGGCUUCUGCACAAGGAUCCGUAGGUCACCAGGUCAAGGCUCAGUUAUUAGAUGAAAUGAGAGUGAUGAGCUGGAGGAUGGGCCGUGCUCCGAUGGGAUUCUGGUUUCUUUGUAUUAACACCAAUCCCAUGGGGAUAUUUUCAUUGCCUGAUCAUGAACAAAAGAGAAUGGCUACAGUGUAUCCAGAUUAUGGAGCAAAAUCGUUUUAAAUGAAUUCAAAGCGGUUGCCUUACUUCACCGAUUAAAC